rnacentral:tRNA from 1 species
AACAGCGUAGCUCAAUCGGUUAGAGCGCAGGGCUUCGGCCCUGAGAAGUCUGUUCGAAUCGGACCGGUGUUA